ACUCCUACGGGAGGCAGCAGUGGGGAAUUUUCCGCAAUGGGCGAAAGCCUGACGGAGCAAUACCGCGUGAGGGAAGACUGCCUAUGGGUUGUAAACCUCUUUUUUCAGGGAGGAAUAAAAUGACGUGUACCUGAAGAAUAAGCAUCGGCUAACUCCGUGCCAGCAGCCGCGGUAAUAC
rnacentral:rRNA from 1 species